rnacentral:rRNA from 1 species
GAUGAACGCUGGCGGCGUGCCUAAUACAUGCAAGUCGAGCGAACAGACGAGGAGCUUGCUCCUCUGACGUUAGCGGCGGACGGGUGAGUAACACGUGGAUAACCUACCUAUAAGACUGGGAUAACUUCGGGAAACCGGAGCUAAUACCGGAUAAUAUAUUGAACCGCAUGGUUCAAUAGUGAAAGACGGUUUUGCUGUCACUUAUAGAUGGAUCCGCGCCGCAUUAGCUAGUUGGUAAGGUAACGGCUUACCAAGGCAACGAUGCGUAGCCGACCUGAGAGGGUGAUCGGCCACACUGGAACUGAGAAACGGUCCAGACUCCUACGGGAGGCAGCAGUAGGGAAUCUUCCGCAAAGGGCGAAAGCCUGACGGAGCAACGCCGCGUGAGGGAUGAAGGUCUUCGGAGCGGAAAACUCUGUUAGUAGGGAAGAAAAAAUGUGUAAGUAACUAUGCACGUCUUGACGGUACCUAAUCAGAAAGCCACGGCUAACUACGUG